rnacentral:rRNA from 1 species
GCGGCCAUAGCGGAGGGGAUACUCCUGUACCCAUCCCGAACACAGCAGAUAAGCCUUCCCACGUUCCUUACUGUACUAAGGUGCGAGAGCCCUUGGGAACUCUGGAUCGCUGCUAUGCUCAC